AUCACGUUGAAACACCGGUUCCCGUGCAAUCACCGAAGUUAAGCAAAGUCGAGCCUGGUCAGUACCUAGAUGGGAAAUACCAGGUGCUGUAAG